rnacentral:rRNA from 1 species
UAGGGAAUCUUCGGCAAUGGACGAAAGUCUGACCGAGCAACGCCGCGUGAGUGAAGAAGGUUUUCGGAUCGUAAAACUCUGUUGUUAGAGAAGAACAAGGACGUUAGUAACUGAACGUCCCCUGACGGUAUCUAACCAGAAAGCCACGGCUAACUACGUGCCAGCAGCCGCGGUAAUACGUAGGUGGCAAGCGUUGUCCGGAUUUAUUGGGCGUAAAGCGAGCGCAGGCGGUUUCUUAAGUCUGAUGUGAAAGCCCCCGGCUCAACCGGGGAGGGUCAUUAGAAACUGGGAGACUUGAGUGCAGAAGAGGAGAGUGGAAUUCCAUGUGUAGCGGGGAAAUGCGUAGAUAUAUGGAGGAACACCAGUGGCGAAGGCGGCUCUCUGGUCUGUAACUGACGCUGAGGCUCGAAAGCGUGGGGGGCAAACAGG